rnacentral:misc_RNA from 1 species
UCUCGUUGCUCGAUCCAUCUAUCGUCAAGGACAAAUUGAAUGGCUAUCGUCCAAGUUUCGUUGUCGAUUCCACUGUGACACUUUGUGCCCGAACAACUACGAUCGUUAUUCUCUAUGAAUUAUAUCUGGCGAAAUAUUUGCCAGUUGGACGAAGAAUAUCGAGCGUGCAGCAUGCCGUGGCAUAAGAGACAGAUCUCGACGAUCGUUUUCUGACCGUUCCAUCGAUUCUUCAGUCAGCUGUCGACCAGAGGAUUAUUCCUGCCAGCUAUCCCCGUGGACGUCCAUCUUCUAUUCGCAGAGACGAGGUGUUUUGGAGCUGACACAUUCUUCUGUUCCUGCCACUGGGGUGAUUCCCCGAACUCAAGGAUGCGGUGGGCAAGGAGACACGACAGCUACCAUCACUGAAAUCCAUCUUCUACCACCUGAAACCUGCGACUGCCAGCCUAAUAAGGCCACCUGGAAUCCGAUCCAAAAACAUAAACCACCACGAGGACGAAGUACCAAACCUAUUCC